rnacentral:rRNA from 1 species
CAAUAGCGUAUAUUAAAGUUGUUGCAGUUAAAAAGCUCGUAGUUGGAUUUCUGGGAGGGUGCCAAUGUCCGCUGAGGCGUGUGCAGCGGCGCCCUUCCAUCCUUCUGUUAACGUUUCAUGGUAUUCAGUUACUGGUUUCGGGCUCAGAUAUUUUACCUUGAGAAAAUUAGAGUGUUUCAGGCAGGCUUGCGCCGGAAUACAUUAGCAUGGAAUAAUAGAAUAGGACUUUAGUCUCUUUUGUUGGUUUGAGGGGCUGAAGUAAUGAUUAAUAGGGAUAGUUGGGGGCAUUAGUAUUUAAUUGUCAGAGGUGAAAUUCUCGGAUUUGUUAAAGACUAACUUAUGCGAAAGCAUUUGCCAAGGAUGUUUNCAUUAA